AUUGAACGCUGGCGGCAGGCCUAACACAUGCAAGUCGAGCGAGUGGCGGACGGGUGAGGAAUGUAUGGGGACUGCCCGAUAGAGGGGGAUAACUACUGGAAACGGUGGCUACUACCGCAUACUAUCGGAUAACCCAUAUGGGAUUAGCUAGUAGGUGGGGUAAAGGAUCACCUAGGCGACGAGCUCUAGCUGGUCUGAGAGGAUGAUCAGCCACACUGGAACUUAGACACGGCCCAGACUCCUACGGAGGCAGCAGUGGGGAAUAUUGCACAAUGGGCGCAAGUCUGAUGCAGCCAUGCCGCGUGUAUGAAGAAGGCCUUAGGGUUGUAAAGUACUUUCAGCGGGGAGGCGUUACCCGCAGAAGAAGCACCGGCUAACUCCGUGCCAGCCGCCGCGGUAAUUC
rnacentral:rRNA from 1 species